AAAAAUAUGACAAUGAAAACACUGGAUUAACGACUAAAGAUUCAUGUACGAAUAAUACUUUAGGUACGAAUAAUAUUUUCUAUGAACUAACAAUAAUGUUCGUACGUUAUAUGGCAUGUGAUGUACUAAAAAAUUCUUGGGUAUGUAUGUUAUGCAAAAUAUAUGAGAAUAGGGUAAAAUACCCUAUCCCAAUAAAUCCUGUAAUAAGAUUGAUGAGCAAUAAGAUCUUUGGAUAAGGAAAGCAGUAAAAGAAGCAAUCAUACAGGUUAUAACUAUAUUUUAAUAUUAAGAAGGUUAUAAC